GUGGGGAAUUUUGGACAAUGGGCGCAAGCCUGAUCCAGCAAUGCCGCGUGCAGGAAGAAGGCCUUCGGGUUGUAAACUGCUUUUGUACGGAACGAAACGGUCCGGGUUAAUACCCUGGGCUAAUGACGGUACCGUAAGAAUAAGCACCGGCUAACUACGUGCCAGCAGCCGCGGUAAUACGUAGGGUGCAAGCGUUAAUCGGAAUUACUGGGCGUAAAGCGUGCGCAGGCGGUUUUGUAAGACAGGCGUGAAAUUCCCGGGCUCAACCUGGGAAUUGCGCUUGUGACUGCAAGGCUGGAGUGCGGCAGAGGGGGAUGGAAUUCCGCGUGUAGCAGUGAAAUGCGUAGAUAUGCGGAGGAACACCGAUGGCGAAGGCAAUCCCCUGGGCCUGCACUGACGCUCAUGCACGAAAGCGUGGGGAGCAAACAGGAUUAGAAACCCGUGUAGUCC
rnacentral:rRNA from 1 species